rnacentral:tRNA from 1 species
CAUGGCGCUGAGCGACGGGCGCCGCACCGGCGCCCGUCUGGUCAGCGGUCAGCACCGCGGCUUCGGCUUGAGUUCCCUGCUCGACGUCGUGC